CAUCACUACGCUAGAUGCAUAUCAAUAAGCGGAGGAAAAGAAACUAACAAGGAUUCCCUUAGUAACGGCGAGUGAAGCGGGAAGAGCUCAAAUUUGAAAUCUUCAAGGUUCUACCUUGACGAAUUGUAGUUUAUAGAAGUGUUUAUCUGUUAGUGGAGUUUGGUAAAAGUUCUUUGGAAUAGGACAUCAUAGAGGGUGAGAAUCCCGUAUUUGGACUCAUUAUUUCCUAGCUUUGUGAUACACUUUCAAAGAGUCGGAUUGUUUGGGAAUGCAGUCCAAAAUGGGUGGUAAAUUUCAUCUAAAGCUAAAUACUGGCGAGAGACCGAUAGCGAACAAGUACCGUGAGGGAAAGAUGAAAAGAACUUUGAAAAGAGAGUUAAACAGUACGUGAAAUUGUCAAAAGGGAAGCGUUUGACACCAGUGCUGUUUUUCUCGAAAAUCGAUUAAGAAUGGCUGAUUUUGUGUUAAGUAUUGACUUAUCAGGCUUGCUGCAUCUUUUUCCUGUAACUUUCUUAAUGCACUUUUCGGUUAACAAGUCAACAUCAAUUUCUUUUGUUGUAAAAGGGUCAUUGGAAGGUGGCUUUCUUUUCGGAGAAAGUGUUUAUAGCCUUUGACUCUGCAAUCGGAGAAGAUUGAGGUCUGCAGCGUAGAUCCUUCGGGGUUAGAUAGCAUUUGUGCUAAGCUAUAGCCUUGUAUAGACAACUUGUUGACUAUGCUCAGUCAUGUAGCUUACUCGCUUAUGUGCUAUUUUACCUACGCUUAGGAUGUUGAUCUCUCACAGUCGAGC
rnacentral:rRNA from 1 species